GCUCCCGUAGCUCAGGGGAUAGAGCGUCGGUUUCCUAAACCGUGCGUCGCAGGUUCGAAUCCUGCCGGGGGCGCCA
rnacentral:tRNA from 1 species